UAUUGGUCCUCUCGCAACGGCACUCUGUAAACCCCGCCAGGUCCGGAAGGAAGCAACGGUAGCAGUCGUUUCGUGUGCCGGGAUGUGGCUGGUGCGA
rnacentral:SRP_RNA from 1 species